CAAAAACCCACUCAUAUGAUAUUUUUUAUAUUCACUUUUUUUUGCAUAUCAAAUGAUUGGUUUAUAUUAUUCAAUCUUUUUCCUCUGCUAUAUUUAUUAACAGCAAUCUUUCACAACCAAGUUAUCAUUACAAAAGUUUCUUGAAGUUACUGCUGCACUGGAUUCAAAACAGAAGGAACUUGUCAAAAGCAUUGGGUUCCAUCAUCUACUGGACUUGGCAUGCAAUAGUUUGCCGAAACAAAUCAUCUUUUGGCUUGUCAAUCAUUUUGAUACCCCCACAAGGACAUUUUUCUUUCCUAAUGGUCAUAGUUUUACACUAUCAAGCCAACACAUACAUCAUGUUCUUGGGACCCCAAUUGGUGGCCAACCUCUCCCCAAAAUUUGCAGUGAAGAUGCAAAAAAUCUUGUUCAGCAGGAAACAAUUUGCCAGGGAAACCAUCCAACUAUCAAUGAUCUGAAAGCAUUAAUCACCCCUGAUCUUGCUGGUCAUAAGUUUAUGAGAAUCUUUGCUCUUUUUGCACUAACAUCUCUUCUGUGCCCAACCAGUAGUGAUUGUGCAAGCCCUGAGUUUUAUGAAGCUAUAUAUGAGCCAGAAAAGAUCAUUUCAUAUGAUUGGUCAACUAUCAUCACAGACAAGCUUGUGUCAUCUAUUUCCAAAUUCCAGCAAGCUCGCAAACAGUGCACUACUGCUUCAUUAGGGGGCUGCACAAUCGCAAUACUGAUAAUAUAUCUUGAUCUUCUUGAUACCUCAGAGAUAAGCCUUCCAAAUUAUAUGCCUCGUCUAAGUAUUUGGUCACCAGAAAUCAUUAUGGCAUAUGUUGAGCUUGACAAAAUGAAUGAUGAUGGCACAAAUUUUGGAAGAAUCCCUGUAUGAUUUUCUUACACAGAUGUCUUCAGUGCAUGUUUCAUCUUUGUAUCAACUAUUUUUCAAAGAAAUUUCAGCAUAUGUUUUCCUCA